rnacentral:rRNA from 1 species
UACGGGGGGAGCAAGCGUUGUUCGGAUUUACUGGGCGUAAAGGGCGCGUAGGCGGCGCAACCAAGUCACUUGUGAAAUCUCCGGGCUUAACCCGGAGCGGCCAAGUGAUACUGUCGUGCUAGAGUGCGGAAGGGGCUACUGGAAUUCUCGGUGUAGCGGUGAAAUGACAGAUAUCAGGAGGAACACCAAUGGCGAAGGCAGCUCGCUGGGACGUGACUGACGCUGGAGACGCGAAAGCGUGGGGAGCAAACAGG